rnacentral:snRNA from 1 species
GUGUUCGCUUCGGCAGCACAUAUACUAAAAUUGGAAGAUACAGAGAAGAUUAGCAUGGCCCCUGGGCAAGGAUGACAUGCAAAUUCGUGAAGCGUUCCAUAUUUAA